rnacentral:sRNA from 1 species
GCUGGGUGUGGUGGCACACACCUGCAAUCCCAGCAGCUCAGGAGGCUGAGGCAGGAGAUUCAUGAGUUCAAAGCUAGCUUCAGAAAAGGCAAGGCACUAAGCAACUCAGUGAAACCCUGUCUCUA